UGUAAUUCUACAUCCACGCUUCUUCCUGGAGGGAACUCAAGCUCAUCCACAAAGAUUGGCCUUUCUUGAUAAAAAGAGAAUCUAACCCGGGAGGACUGGAAGACUCAAACUAGGAGAAAACACAGAUCAGACUUAAAGAUUCCUCCUCCUCCAAACUUUGUUUCUGGCUGUCCCCUCUGAAGAGUUCACCUGUUUCCUCUGUCCACAAGUUUCCAUUUUUCUCCUCCCUUUGGCCAAGAGACUCGGUGGACAUACAAGGGAGACCAAGGAGGUGCUGGCUUUCUGCUAUCUGAGGAGAAGGGCAGAGAGGAGGCAGGCCGUAAAGCUGCUCGGGAGGUUGCUGGACAGGUGCCCUUUUAACCUGUCCCACAAACUGGUGCCCAUGUGAAAAUUCAAGCAGAUCCAGUCACCGACAAGUUGCUUUAUUGAUAAUUAACCAAGCUCUAACCCAGACCAGAUUUGGUUUCCCUAGAUGACCCAAGAGGAGACGAUACUUGAUUAUGCUGUCUGAAACCACCAGUCCAUCCUCUGCAACACAAACACGGAGUAGGAAUUAGGAAUAGCGCCCAACUUCUGUCUCACACAUAGCUGUGUAGCACGUGCUGUGACAGACUGGUCCACAUGGAGAACAGCAGAAGGCUUCUCCUCUCCUCCUACCACUCCCAAGUGACAUAUGUAGCUUCAGUGAAAGAGGUUUUUGUGAUGAAACUGAAAACUGAUUUCACAUUGCACUCCACUGAUCCAUGUGGGGAGGUCUUUCUUCCCAUGUAAAUACAAGCUGCUGAAGGACUGCAAUGGUAAUUGUUGAAAUCAUUUUAUAGUGCGCAAUAUUCUUGUUAAAAGUGAAUUUGUAUGCUGUGCAGUAUUUGUCGUGCCAUUCUGCUUUUUAGUGUUUAAUUUUUUGUUAAUGUGGGUUGCCUCUUUUAGAACACUUUGCCAUUUUAUUGUACACUCGAGACAAAGAACAGUCUGUGGGAUGUUUUGCUCUUGUACCCAAUGAGUAAAAGGCCCUGCUUGUCUAAGCACCAAGAAAGGUCAAACAUGGAUUUCAAGAAAGCAAGCAUCAUCUUCAGAAACAAGAUUAGUGUUUGUAUGAGACUGGAUACAACCCCAUUUCCUCAGCAAGGCACCGAACCCUCCAGCUUGUACUGAACCUUUCCCUGUGCCUUGCACCCACCUCAGCAUUUUGCAUUUUGCUCUGCAUUUCAAAGUCCUUGGAACAGGGAACAUUUCUUACUAUUUGUGCAUUGCACUGUACAAUGGGCCCCAGUCUUGUUUGGAUCCUCUUGUGAGACUUUUUGUGUUAGGGUCUAAAAGCAUAUUGCUCAUAAUCAACUUGAGACACAAAUUUGACAGCACGCUACUAGUCACACAAAGAAUAGGAAAUUGUUUAAUAGCCAGAACUAUAAGUCGACCUUUUGUAUUGAAAACCAAAAUAGUUUAAAAAUAUAUUUUGAAAGAUCAUUUAUGCAUAUUUUACAGUCUGUAGUCCAGCAGAAGUAGUGAUUUGGGGAAGACAAGGUAGAUCCAUGGCACUACAUUAAAUCAGUCUCACCUAUGAAGAUGUUUUAGAAUACCUGCUAAAAAUACUCUAACAAAACUCUGUGAUGAUUAAAGCAACACAAUAGUAUUAAUCACAUAAUGAAGUACAGUGAAAUCUAUUUAUAUUUUGCAGGAUUAAUUUGAACUUAUAAGCAGAGAAAACUACAAAUAUAUUCCUAGGUUGCUUGCAAAGAAAAGGUAUAUGCUUACAUUUAACAAAGUUCUUAAAAAUCAACUUUUAAUGUUCAGUGUUGUUCCUCUAAUGGUGUAUUAUAAUAAAACUUAUAAUUUGGAAUUUCUGUGUCAAAUUACAUAGGGUAAGCAUUUUAAAAAGACAAAAUAUUGUGGUGUAUGUUGCCUUUGAAACCAUGUUUUUGGUUAAAGUCACCAUUUAUGAUAACUUUGUUGGAGUCAACGGAUUCACACAAGCAAUUUAUUUUGAUGGGCAAUCCACUUGCAUGGAUCAGCACAGUUCCUGGGCAACAUUUAUACAACAGUAUUUGUACAACAGUUCUGAUGGUUAUGGUCAAGUAUGAGAAAAUAAGUGCCCAUUUGCUGGGCUACUGCUCCCAGGUGGAAGCCAGAUCCAGCAUCACAAGCCCAACCCUAAUGAUGCUGGUACAGGGAGAAGAACAGAACGAGAGAGGUGAAAUUAUCUACUAAAAUAAGGGUUUGGUCUGUAACAUAAACUCAUUCCUCAUUAAAUUAAAAUUUUAAUAUAGCUGAAUUUUCUGGACUUGUUUGGGAUCUUGUUCUGGACUUGGUUUGGGAUCGUUUAAAAAUACAGACUGUUAUUUCUUCCAGCCUGGUAAAUUAAUAGCAUGCAUUCUCUCAUCUAACUUUGGUGUCUUUUGUAUAAACUAUGCUGCUGCUCCUAAUUAACUAGCUUACCUGUCUGUUCCACUUCAGAGCAUGCAUUUGUUAAUGUAUGUGUAAUAUAAUGUGUUUGUAUUUGUAUUUGUUAAUGUAUGUGUGGUAUAAUGUAUGUUAAUGUAUGAGCACAGACCUUUACUUAGUGACUAAUUAAUCUAUGUGUAUUAUAUUGGUCUAUUCUCCCACAUGCCUGGUGACAGGACGAGGGGGAACAGGCUAAAGUUGCGCCAGGGGAGGUUUAGGUUGGAUAUUAGGAAGAACUUCUUUACUGAGAGGGU